GAUCAUAUAGCUCAGUGGUUAGAGCAUCCCUCAUGUGUUGGUGGAGGUCCUAGGUUCAAUCCCUGGUGUGGUCG
rnacentral:tRNA from 1 species